rnacentral:rRNA from 1 species
GACGAACGCUGGCGGCGUGCCUAACACAUGCAAGUCGGACGGAACUGUUUUGAAAGCUUUCUUCGGAAGGAAGCGGGUGUAGUUUAGUGGCGGACGGGAGAGUAACGCGUGAGUAACCGGCCGUCAAGGGGGGAAUAACAUUCUGAAAAGAAUGCUAAUACCACAUGACAUAUCGGAAGCACAUGGGUUUGAUAGCAAAGAUGUUAUCGCUGGAAGAUGGACUUGCGUCGGCUUAUAUAGUUGCAGAUGUACCGGCUCACCAAGACCGCGAUCGGUAACCGGACAGAGGGGUUACACGCCAGCAUUGUGACGGAGGCACCACUCAGGAACCUACGGGAGGCAGCAGUAGGCGAUCUUACGCAAUGGGCGCAAGCCAGGCGCACCAACGCCUCGUGAAGCACGAUUGUUGUCGGAGUGUAAACUUCUUUUAAUAAGGACGAAUACUGACGGUACUUAAUGAAUAAGCUCCGGCUAACUACGUG